CCAGAGCCCCUUUCUCGCGAGGCGGAAGAGCCCCGAGCGCGGAGGAGCAAGGGGGCGCUAGGGAAGGGAACUGGAUUGCGACGGUCCGGCGAGAAAGAGCUGGGGUGCGGGGAAGUUGGGGAGCAAAGCCCGCUAGGUGUCCGAGUAGGGUAAGGCCGCACCGACCGGGUCCGUUAGAAAAAAAGGGAACCGAGGAGGAAGGCAAUUGUCGGGCGGAUCCCCGGACGGAGGGCUAAGGUUGUGUGGAAGGCGCUGCUCCCGGGAUGGCGACCGCAGAUAUUCCGGCCCCGGCCUCCAGUGGCCUCUCGCCCAAGGAAGAAGGGGAGCUAGAAGAUGGGGAAAUCAGCGACGACGAUAACAACAGCCAGAUACGGAGCCGGAGCAGCAGCAGCAGCAGUGGCGGCGGGCUGUUACCGUAUCCACGGCGAAGGCCUCCUCACCCGGCCCGGGGCGGUGGAUCUGGCGGAGGCGGUGGCUCCUCCUCGUCGUCGUCCUCUUCUCAGCAGCAGUUGAGGAAUUUCUCACGCUCGCGGCACGCGUCGGAGCGGGGCCACCUCAGGGGACACAGCAGCUACCGACCCAAAGAGCCGUUCCGGUCUCACCCGCCCUCCGUGCGGAUGCCUUCGAGCUCGCUGUCCGAAAGCAGCCCCCGACCGUCCUUUUGGGAACGGAGCCACAUCGCCUUGGACCGUUUCCGCUUUCGAGGCAGGCCGUACCGGGGUGGAAGUCGCUGGAGUCGGGGGCGAGGAGGGGGUGAGCGAGGAGGCAAGUCGGGGGGCAGACCUCCUCUGGGAGGAGGAGCAGGAUCUGGAUUCAGCAGCAGUCAGGGCUGGCGAGAGCCCUCUCCACCUCGGAAGAGUUCCAAAAGUUUUGGAAGAUCUCCAUCAAGAAAACAAAAUUAUUCAUCUAAAAAUGAAAACUGUGGGGAAGAAACUUUUGAAGACUUACUUUUGAAGUAUAAGCAAAUACAGUUGGAACUAGAGUGCAUCAAUAAGGAUGAAAAACUAGCUUUGAGUAGCAAAGAAGAGAAUGUGCAGGAAGAUCCUAAAACAUUGAACUUUGAGGACCAAACAAGCACUGAUAAUGUCAGUAUUACAAAGGACCCAAGUAAAGAAGUAGCUCCUGAGGAGAAAACGCAGGUCAAAACUUUUCAGGCAUUUGAAUUAAAACCACUCAGGCAAAAAUUGACUUUACCAGGGGAUAAGAACCGGUUGAAAAAAGUUAAAGAUGGAACAAAACAGCUUUCCCUGAAAUCUGACACUACUGAACCUAGUCAAGGAUUAGAAGAUAAAGAACAAAAUUUAACAAGAAGAAUUAGUGCCUCUGACAUUUUAUCUGAAAAGAAACUUGGUGAAGAUGAAGAGGAACUGUCUGAACUACAACUUCGACUUUUGGCUCUUCAGUCAGCCAGUAAAAAAUGGCAACAAAAAGAACAGCAGGUGAUGAAAGAAAGCAAAGAAAAGUUGACUAAGACGAAAACUGUACAACAAAAAGUUAAAACCAGUACAAAAACACAUUCAGCCAAAAAAGUUAGCACUACAGCUAAACAGGCAUUAAGGAAGCAGCAAACAAAGGCUUGGAAGAAACUACAACAACAAAAAGAACAGGAAAGACAGAAAGAAGAGGAUCAGCGGAAACAAGCUGAAGAAGAAGAGAGAAGGAAAAGAGAAGAAGAAAUCAGAAAAAUUCGAGAUCUCUCAAAUCAGGAAGAGCAGUACAAUCGAUUCAUGAAAUUGGUUGGUGGAAAGAGGAGAUCAAGAAGUAAGUCUUCAGAUCCUGACCUAAGACGAUCCUUAGAUAAGCAACCUACUGAUAGUGGAGGAGGCAUUUAUCAAUAUGAUAACUAUGAAGAAGUUGCUAUGGAUACAGAUAGUGAAACCAAUUCUCCAGCCCCUUCACCGGUGCAACCACCAUUCUUCUCUGAAUGUUCACUGGGGUAUUUUUCUCCAGCACCAUCUAUUUCUUUGCCUCCACCACCUCAGGUUUCUUCUAUGCCACCUUUGAGCCAGCCUUAUGUGGAAGGCUUAUGUGUUUCUCUUGAACCUCUACCUCCUCUACCACCUUUACCACCUCUUCCACCUGAAGAUCCAGAACAGCCUCCAAAACCACCUUUUGCAGAUGAGGAAGAGGAGGAAGAAAUGCUGCUUCGAGAAGAGCUACUUAAAUCUCUUGCAAAUAAAAGAGCUUUUAAGCCAGAGGAAACAUCUAGUAAUAGUGACCCACCUUCACCUCCAGUACUGAACAAUUCACAGCCUGUGCCAAGAAGCAAUCUAUCAAUAGUCAGUAUUAAUACAGUAUCUCAGCCUAGGAUUCAGAAUCCAAAGUUUCAUAGAGGACCUCGUCUUCCACGAACUGUGAUUUCGCUUCCAAAGCAUAAAUCAGUGGUUGUAACACUGAAUGAUUCAGAUGACAGUGAAUCUGAUGGAGAGGCUUCCAAGGCAACAAAUAGUGUUUUUGGUGGAUUGGAGUCCAUGAUUAAGGAAGCAAGACGAACUGCUGAACAAGCUUCAAAACCGAAAGUACCUCCAAAAUCUGAAAAAGAAAAUGAUCCCUUGAGAACACCUGAAGCUUUGCCUGAAGAAAAGAAGAUUGAAUAUAGAUUGUUAAAGGAAGAGAUUGCCAAUCGAGAGAAGCAGCGUUUAAUUAAAUCAGAUCAUCUGAAGACAAGUUCAUCAUCCCCAGCAAACUCUGAUGUAGAAAUUGAUGGGAUUGGCAGAAUAGCAAUGGUUACUAAGCAGGUUACAGAUGCAGAAGCGAAACUUAAAAAACAUAGGAUUCUCUUGAUGAAAGAUGAGUCUGUUUUAAAGAAUCUAGUACAACAAGAAGCUAAGAAGAAAGAAUCUGUUCGAAAUGCUGAAACAAAGAUUACAAAACUUACAGAACAGCUUCAGGCAACAGAGAAAAUUCUCAGUGUCAACAGAAUGUUUUUGAAGAAGCUUCAGGAACAAAUUCACAAAGUUCAACAACGUGUUACAAUUAAGAAAGCUUUGACUCUAAAGUACGGAGAGGAGCUUGCUCGGGCAAAGGCAGUGGCUAGUAAAGAAAUAGGAAAACGUAAACUGGAACAAGAUCGCCUUGGACCAAACAAAAUGAUGAGACUGGACAAUUCUCCAAUAUCAAGUCCAAGAAAGCAUUCAGCAGAACUAAUUGCUAUGGAAAAAAGACGAUUACAAAAACUAGAAUAUGAGUAUGCCCUGAAAAUUCAGAAACUAAAAGAAGCCCGGGCCCUUAAAGCAAAGGAACAACAAAAUAUUGCUCCAGUUGUGGAGGAGGAACCUGAAUUUUCUUUACCCCAGCCAUCACUUCAUGAUCUGACUCAAGAUAAAUUAAGUCUGGACACUGAGGAAAAUGAUGUUGAUGAUGAGAUUUUGUCUGGUUCAAACAGAGAACGAAGAAGAUCGUUCUUAGAGUCUAAUUCUUUUACUAAACCUAACCUUAAGCACACUGAUACACCUAACAAAGAAUGCAUAAACAAACCUGCUAAGAAUACGGUAGAAAAACCAGAACUUUUUCUAGGGUUAAAAAUUGGUGAAUUGCAAAAAUUAUAUUCAAAAGCUGACAGCUUAAAACAACUGAUUUUAAAAACCACCACAGGCAUUGCAGAAAAGGCCUUGCAUGGUCAGGAGAUUUCUGUGGAUGUGGAUUUUGUGACAGCACAGAGUAAAACAACAGAAGUGAAGCCAUGUCCUUUUAGACCCUAUCAUAGUCCUCUUCUAGUUUUUAAGUCGUACAGAUUUAGUCCAUACUAUCGAACCAAGGAAAAACUUCCCUUGAGCUCAGUAUCAUACAGUAAUAUGAUUGAACCCGAUCAGUGUUUCUGCCGUUUUGAUUUAACAGGAACAUGUAAUGAUGAUGAUUGUCAGUGGCAGCAUACACAAGACUAUACGCUUAGCCGAAAACAGCUAUUCCAGGACAUUCUGUCAUAUAAUCUGUCUUUGAUUGGUUGUUCAGAGACAAGCACUGAUGAAGAAAUUGCUGCUGCAGCAGAAAAAUACGUUGAAAAACUUUUUGGAGUAAAUAAAGAUCGAAUGUCCAUGGACCAGAUGGCUGUGCUCCUUGUUAGCAAUAUCAAUGAAAGUAAAGGCCAUACACCUCCAUUUACAACCUACAAAGAUAAAAGAAAAUGGAAGCCAAAAUUUUGGAGAAAACCUAUUUCAGAGAAUAGCUUCAGUAGUGAUGAGGAACAGUCUACAGGACCAAUUAAGUAUGCCUUCCAGCCAGAGAACCGAAUAAAUGUUCCAGCUUUGGAUACAGUUGUCACUCCAGAUGAUGUCAGAUACUUUACAAAUGAGACUGAUGACAUUGCUAAUUUAGAAGCAAGUGUGCUUGAAAAUCCAUCUCAUGUACAGCUUUGGCUCAAGCUUGCAUACAAGUAUUUGAAUCAGAAUGAGGGGCUAUGUUCAGAGUCCUUGGAUUCUGCUUUAAAUGUUCUGGCUCGAGCUUUGGAAAACAACAAAGACAAUCCAGAAAUUUGGUGCCAUUACCUCAGAUUGUUCUCAAAAAGAGGAACCAAGGAAGAAGUGCAGGAAAUGUGUGAAACAGCUGUUGAAUAUGCUCCUGACUAUCAAAGUUUUUGGACUUUUCUGCACCUAGAAAGCACCUUUGAAGAAAAGGAUUAUGUAUGUGAAAGAAUGGUGGAGUUUCUGAUGGGAGCAGCCAAGCGGGAAGCAUCAGAUAUUCUGUCCUUUCAGCUCUUAGAGGCUCUCUUGUUUAGAGUUCAGCUGCACAUAUUUACUGGAAGGUGCCAGAGUGCACUUGCAGUUUUACAGAAUGCACUGAAAUCAGCUAAUGGUGGAAUAGUAGCUGAAUACCUUAAAACAAGUGAUCGAUGCUUGGCAUGGCUGGCCUACAUACAUCUUAUUGAAUUCAACGUUCUCCCUUCAAAAUUUUACGAUCCAUCUAAUGCCAAUCCUUCAAGAAUUGUUAACACAGAAUCAUUUGUAAUGCCAUGGCAAACAGUUCAAGAUGUAAAGACUAAUCCUGACAUGUUGCUAGCAGUUUUCGAAGAUGCUGUGAAAGCUUGCACAGAUGAGAGCCAUACUGUUGAGGAAAGAGUAGAAGUCUGUGUUCCACUUUACACAAACAUGAUUGCUCUGCACCAGCUUCUAGAGAGGUAUGAGGCUGCAGUGGAGCUUUGUAAAUGUUUAUUGGAAACGUGUCCCAUGAACUGCCAAUUGUUGGAAGCCCUUGUUGCUUUAUAUUUGCAAACAAAUCAGCACGACAAAGCCAGAGCAGUGUGGCUUACUGCAUUUGAAAAAAAUCCUCAGAAUGCAGAGAUUUUUUAUCAUAUGUGCAAAUUCUUCAUCCUACAGAAUCAAGGAGAUAAUCUUCUUCCAUCUUUGCGGAAAUUUAUUGCAUCCUUCUUUAAACCUGGGUUUGAGAAAUACAGUAACUUGGAUCUGUUUCGGUAUCUUUUAAAUAUCCCAGGACCACUUGACAUUCCAGCCCGUUUAUGUAAAGGGACUUUUGAUGAUGAGUUGUUUAACCACCAGGUUCCUUAUUUGUGGCUGAUUUACUGCCUUUGUCAUCCUCUUCAAUCAAGUAUUAAAGAGACAGUGGAGGCAUAUGAGGCAGCAUUAGGGGUGGCCAUGAGAUCUGAUAUAGUGCAGAAGAUUUGGAUGGAUUAUCUUGUCUUUGCCAAUAAUAGAGCUGCUGGAUCCAGAAACAAAGUCCAAGAAUUCAAAUUUUUUACUGAUUUAGUGAAUAGAUGUUUGGUUACAGUCCCUGCCCGAUACCCCAUUCCUUUUAGCAGUGCUGAUUACUGGUCCAACUAUGAAUUUCAUAAUAGGGUUAUUUUCUUUUAUUUGAGCUGUGUUCCAAAGACUCAGCAUUCCAAAACCUUGGAACGGUUUUGCUCAAUUAUGCCAACUAAUUCUGGACUUGCACUGAGGCUACUUCAACAUGAAUGGGAAGAAAGCAAUGUUCAGAUUCUGAAACUUCAAGCCAAGAUGUUUACAUAUAAUAUUCCAACAUGCCUGGCCACCUGGAAAAUAGCCAUUGCUGCUGAGAUUGUUCUAAAGGGACAAAGAGAGGUCCACCGUUUAUAUCAGAGAGCCUUACAGAAGUUACCUCUUUGUGCAUCACUGUGGAAAGAUCAACUCUUGUUUGAAGCAUCAGAAGGAGGUAAAACUGAUAACCUGAGAAAACUAGUUUCCAAGUGCCAAGAGAUUGGAGUCAGCCUAAAUGAGCUCUUAAAUUUAAACAGUUACAAAACAGAAAGCAAGAAUCACUGAACACUGGGUGCAGUCAGUUCUAAGUCCUUAUAAUAAUUGCCAAAAUUAUUUGAAUGAUCCUUCAAGAUUAGGCUGAUCCCUGGCUAAGGUCUGCGUAAGGCAGACAAGCAUUUUACUGAUCAUAUCAAGUCCCCUACAAUAUCCUAUCCUCAAAACCGGAAGCAAUGAACAUGACCCUCUUCGGUUGGAUAAAUGAACUUCCUGUUUGGCCUACUUCUAGGCCCUGCCAGAUUCUCAUAACAUCAUAACAUAGACACUUGGCCACUUCAAGGGAGGCUGGGAUAUUCAAGGAUGAAGAACAGAAUACAUAAUUUGGGGACAGCUAAGCAUCUCUGCCACACCACCAUCAAAGAGUAAACAGACUAUAGGAUGAGAAGAAGAAAUGUCACAAAUCAUUGGAGUAUCUACGUAAAUAUUUGGAAUAUAGUGGCUACCAGGUGCUUCGUUUUCUUCAGGCUCCAUCUCACUACGAGGUAUGUGCCUACCAGGUUUCGGUAACGCAGUAAUCACCAUGGAUCUACAUUGUCAUCAAUGCUCUUCAUUCUAAAACUGAUGCUAAGGAAUAAUUCUGGCUCCACAAGUUUUAUAUCUUUAAGUGCUCCUGAAAUUUAAGUGAAUGGUAACUCCUUGUUUAUUCACAGGAGGGUUGUAUUAGUUAUGUAUUGCUGUGUAACAAAUUACCCUCAAGCCAAACAACUUAAAGCAACAAACUAUUGUAUCAUAGUCUCUGUGGGUCAGGAAUCCAGCAGGGCUUAGCUAGGUGGUUAGGUGGUUUGACUCAGGGUCUUGUAAGGAGUUGAAUCCAACUGUUGGCUGGGCCGCAGUCAGUUAUCUGAGGCCUAAAAAGAGCUGAAGGGUCUACUUCCAAACUUGCUCUUAUAGUUGUUUGUAGGCCUAGGUUUUUUCCCAUAUGUAUGUCUCUGUAGACUGCCUGAGUGGCUUCAUGGCAUGGUAGCUGGCUCCCCCGAGUGAGUAAGCCAGGGGAAAGAGAGACACACAGAGAAAGAGACAAAAAGAGACAGAGGGCAUCAAAAAAUGGGAGUUGCUGUCUUUUAAAACCUGACAUUGGAGAUGACAAACCAUCACUUCUGCCAUAUGCUACUGGUCACACAGACCCAACCUUGGUACAAUAUGGGAGGGCAUUACCCAAGGGUGUGAAUAUCAGCAGGUGGAGAUCACUGAGGGGCCAUCUUGGAGUCUGGCUACUGCAACGGUAGAGGAAGUUCUUCCCUAUGAGCAGUGAAAGUCACCCAAGCUCCAGUAACAGGUGGAGCUUGUAGCUAGGAACCUCUUCAGUCUCCAUGGAAAGGAAGGAGCCCAACCAAUACAUGACUUACAGAUCUCGCACCCAUCUUUGAACUGCUUCAAGAGCUGCCGAUCCAAGCACAAAUGGAUUUUAGUACUAAUUCGAUGGGGAAAAGAGAAUAUGGUAGCAAAGAAUACCUAUUCGGUCAAGACAGCCUUUAUAUUCCAAAAAAUCUGGAUGCAGAAGUGGUCCCAGCAGCUGUUUAAUUCAUAAUUGUAUCAAAAAGUGGGGAGGGAUGUUUUACCUGAAAAUAGCCAAACUGAUUCCUCUAAACAGGCCAUACUUGUCAUGAAUAAUGACCUUCUCACAUCAAACAUUGGCUUUUUUGGUCUAGAGCCAAAGAAGCAGUGAAUGAUGAGUAUAACCAAAUUUUGGAGAAACUUCUGCAACUCCUCUUAUCCCCAGGCCAGCAGAUAGGAAACAAACAAACAAACAAACAAACAAAGAAACAACUUCUAUCACUUUGGUAUCAUUUCCUUUUGAAAUGAAAUGCAUCCUUUUGCUUGUAGGUGGUGCCACCUGCUUCUUAAUCAGCUCUGUGAACCCUUCUGCAGUCUCCCACACUGAGCCAAGCAUAUGAUCACUUUACGUCCCAUCAUCCACACACUAUUAAAAUUGAAAAAAAAAAUUUGUAGAGGAGCUAUUGUCUAUCUCCACUAGAUUUUGGCUAAGACACAUGCCUCCAGUCAUACAUGACAAGUAUUUAAACUUUCUUACUCAUUACAAAGGUAUUCAGAGGAAAAGUGAAAUAUUCCAGAGAUUGUAGCAGGCAAAAUCAGCUACACAAUCUUUUUCUAAUUAUUAUAACAAAGCACCACAUCAAGAAUUCUCAUUUUUCCAUUGGAAAAUAAAGUUAUGUUAAUCAGAAACAAUGACAUUUGGUCUACUUUAGAUCAAAGGCCCCUCCAUACCCCAGAGGGCCAAUUCUGCUCUUGUUAAGACAAAAGCCUUGGGUAAAAAAUAUGAGUUUUUUUUCUUCUUCUUCUUUUUUGUGGACCAUUUCCUUAUUGUGGCUUUCAAUAAACCUCUCAGUGGUUAGCAAGUUUUGACCAGAAUGUCAAGCAAGAUCUUCUUCUACUGUGGAAUGGAGAUUUAAAAUUUGAGAACUUAAUCAGAUAGGUAUCAGAUGUACAACAAACUGCAAAUCCUUUCAAUGAAAACAAAACUUUUCCAAUAAUUGAUAUAGCUUUGUGCCCCAUUUUACUCUUGACUUUUGCAGUUAAUUGGAAAAUGAACUUUGCUGACAGAUGCAGUAUACUCUGCAUGUUUUAUUAACCCCAUUUUAUAGUAAGCGCUCUGAAAAGGGAAGUGAAGAAACUUGCCCACUAUUAAGCGUUAGACCUGGGAUUUGAACACAGGCCACCUGGCUUCAGAAUCUGAAUGCUCAGUCACUAUGUUAUAUUCCCCCCCAGAGUAACCACUCAGUGCAUGUUUACUAAAUAAUUGGUUUAAUUUUAAUCUGUGCUACACAAAUUCUUUGUAGACAAAUGUUAAACAAAGAAUGAAGAUGUUUAUAGAGUUUUAUAAAUAUUUUUCUCAGUCAAUGCUUUAGCCAACAUUUUCACUCAUUUUUCUUUAAUUUGAAAUAAAUUUUCUCCUGUCUCUACUACUCCCCUUUUCCUUACACUCAGGAUAGCUAGUUUUCUUUUCCUUUUGUUUCCUGUUCUCCCUUGCCCAAGGAGUGAUACUUCAAUCCCCCUAAAGACUUAGCUCCCUUGGGCAGGAGAGUGUAGUGGUUCUCAGACAUGAGCCUGCAUCAGAAUCACCUGGAUGACCAGUUAAAACACACAUUGUUGAGGGGCGCCUGGGUGGCUCAGUCGGUUAAGCGUCCGACUUCGGCUCAGGUCAUGGUCUCGCAGUCCGUGAGUUCGAGCCCCGCAUUGGGCUCUGUGCUGACCGCUCAGAGCCUGGAGCCUAUUUCAGUUUCUGUGUCUCCCUCUCUCUCUGACCCUCCCCCCUUCAUGCUCUGUCUCUCUGUCUCAAAAAUAAAUAAACGUUAAAAAAAAAAUAAAAAAAAACCAAACAACACACACAUUGUUGGGUGCCAGCACAGAGUUUCUCAUUCACUAGGUCGGGAGUGAGGCCCAAGAAUAUGGUUUUCUAAGUUCCUAGGGACCACACUUUGAAACUCACUAGUGCAGCUGUUCAAAGAAAUGCCUCUGAGACCCACCUUCACUAUUUAUUAGGCAGGUGAUCAAACCUUUGUUUGAUCAAACCUUUGUUUGAUCAAAACUUUGUGGGACACUUGGCUGGCUCCAUUGCUGGAAGCAUGUGACUCUUGAUCUCAGGGUGGUAGGUUCAAGUCCCACGUUGAGUGUAGAGGUUACUUAAAAAAUAAAAUCUUAAAAAAAACAAAACCAAAAAACUUUGUACCACAGCUUCCUCAUCUAUAAAAUGGGAAUGACAACAGGACCCAUUUCAUGGGUUUGUCUCCUAAUGAAGUGAAGUAUUGUACAUAAAAGCACUUAACACUGCCUGUCAUAUUCAAGUCUCCAGUAACAGCUAUUACAAGCUGGCUUUUGUAGACAUGCAUACACUUAGAAUUCAUUUACAACUAAAAUAAUAGCUAUUAGCAAUAAAAAAAAGGUGUUUCUCAUUCUUGAUAAUUACUUGUCAGAGUUUUUUUUCUUCUGUCAUUAUCUUGGCCUCUCAGCCUACUCACUGACUUCUUCCAGGGGAGUAGGCGAGCUAGGUCAUAAUGGAACGUUUGGGAGAGGCUUCUGGCCUGCCUGUGUUAUCCCCCUCCUCUCUUUUUUAAAAUUUGAAACUGGGGAGCCUGCAUGGCUCAGUUAGUUAAGUGUCCAACUCUUGAUUUCGGCUCAGGUCAUGCUCUCACAGUUCAUGGGAUCAGGCCCAGCAUUAGGCUGUGUGCUGACAGCACAGAGCAUGUUUGGGAUUCUCUCUCUCCCUCUCUCUCUUCCCCUCCUCCUCUCUCUCUUCCUCUCAAAAUAAAUAAAUAAACCUUAAAAUUUUUUUUUUUGGAAAUACUCUGUCCAUAGGAACCAUCAGUUCUGCUGUUCCAAGAGGUAACUAUAGAAAACCCAACCUCCAUGUGGGGAGGCCAUGGUCAUCCAGUGCUGCCUGUAUCUGGGAAAAGAAUAUGGCUAAUUCUGGAAAGCUCACUUGCAAGAUUUUUUUUUUAAGUUUUUUUUUUUUUUUAAUUUAUUUAGUGUGAGUGAGAGAGAGGCAAGGAGGGAGGGAGAGAGAGAAUCCCAAGCAGGCUCCACACUGUCAGCAUGAAGCCUGACACAGGACUCGAACCCAUGAACAGUGAGAUGGUGACCUGGGCUGAAAUCAAAAGCCGGAUGUUAACCAACUGAACCGCACAGCUGCCCCAUCACUUGUUGAGAUUUUUUAGGACACGUUCCGUAAUAUUAAGUUUUUCAUUAGAAAAUGUGACACAUUGAUCCAUAUCUCCUUUAUGUUUUCUUAUUUCUCAUUUCCUUGGAACUCAGGCGGAGAGAAAGGAUGCUACUUGUGGGAACUCUUCAAAUCCAGUUCAAGGUCUGAGCCUUUAGCUAUGUAGUGUUUUGACCUUGGCAGAUUACUGAAGUUUAUAGAGGCUGCAUCCACAGGUGAGUAUAUGUGUUUAUACAGGCUGCACUGGUGUUAAGGAAGUCUGGGGCAUUUGAAGGAUGAGAAAAGACUGGUGUUUUUUGAGAACAUGGCAUCACAGAGCCUUCUGGAGAUCAAAUCUCCUGGUCCUGGUGGUCUCAGGAAUAUUUCCAGAAGCUGUGCUUGCCGUAGGGGAGCAGCUUUACAAAGGUGGAAUAAAACUGCCCAGAUAUGCAGCUGGUAUCUUGUCCUCACAAGACAGCCACACGCAGGGUUGAUCACAGCCCUACUGGUUACAUCGAAAGGAUUGAGUUAAAAAAAGAGAAACGGUGAAGGCUGGGGUCGAAGGGUGGGGUUCAUAUUCCCUGCUGCUGCCUGUUUCCUUCCAUGUGGAGGAUACUCCUGGUAGCAGUCUGUCCUCUUGCUGACUUGUCCUGUAGAAGGGAUAAGUGACAUAUCUGAUUAGCAUGUAGAAGUACUCAGUCUUUUCUUCCCUUUGCUAGUGCCCUCCUGAAGAUUACAUUAGAAGGUUCUGUUCUUUUGUGUUGUUAUUUCACAGAAACUCACCCUCACAUGGGGAGAUCUGUGUUGGACCAGUGUUCUCUGUGACUCAGUGGACAAGUCUGUCUAGUUCUCAGUUAUGUAUUAGAAAGCUGCUUGUCUGUGGAUGAAAGCCCUGCUGUCUUUCAUCAGCUUUAUCAGCAAUAAAGGUGAUGUUUAACCUUUGCUGCCUUACUCCUUGUCCCAGUUUUCAACAGGUUCCAAACAAAGGCAGGAAAAGAGAUUUCUAUUUAUUGAAACUUCCCAAACACCAGUAGUUAAGGAUUUAUUAAGCACUUAUGAAGUACUUUGCAUAAUAACAAUCCCUCGAGGUCAGCUAUGAGGUAGAUGCCAUUAUUAUCCCCAUUUUAUAGAUGAAGAAAUGGCUGUUAAGAGGAAUUAAUUAAUAUGCUCAUGAUUAAUUAAAGAAUAUGCCCACCCAGAAUUAAGUAAUAUGCCAACUCGGCUGGUAAAAUGGCUGUUCUGACACUCAUAUGUAUGACUGUCUGACCCAGGGCCCUGCUAUUCCCUUUGUCCAAAUUUCCUAUUUGAGAACAGAAAGGCAGUUUAAAAUAUAUAGUUUAGAGUUUUAGGUAAAAACAAAACAAAACAAAACAAAAAAACCCCAAACUCUAUGUAUUGUAUGUAUUUUAUGAUGAUGCAGAUUUCAUUUUGGAAAUUGUAAUAAACAUAACCAAUAAACCAGUAAGUAACCAAAUGGGAGAGAAAAUAAUGAUCUGUAGAAGGGUUGGUGGUUCAUUGCUAUAUUUCCUAUGCCAGCGGAACUUGGGAGAUGGAGCAGGGGGAAGAUCUUACCUAGGAACUUAGGAAAGAUAAUACAACUUAUUAAAAAAGAUUUAAAAACUUUGGACAGUGAAGCUAGGCAUGUUAGUUGAGGAGGGAUUGUGAAGGUCAGUAUCAAUAAAAAGCCCUUCAGAGUAACUCAAGUAAAAAAGAAGGUUAAUUGAGAGGAUACAACAACUUCAUAGACAUCUAAGAAUAGGACAGAAAGCAUGACCAGGCCACCCAGGGAAUGGAACUUUCUAGAAACUCAGUCUUUCAUGGGGCUACUGGCCACUUCUAUUCCUUUCUGCUUGCUACACCAGUCCUUUGUUUUUCUCUUCAGAGUGCCUUUUUCUGCUUUCCAAAACUUAAAUUUACACAUAGUUUUGGCUUCUCAGGGUGUCAAUGCUAGCCAAAAUUUCAUUUGAUCUUUCUGUUCAAGCACCCAUCCCAUCAUCAUCUGACUUAGUUAGAUUGUCUUAAUGUCCUAAUUCCAAAUUCUUUGGAAAGAGUAUCUGAUUGAUCUGGCUUGAGUCAAGGAGAAUUUGAUAGGGGUUGUGGCUGGGAAGCAAUUGCAAACAUUGUGCAUGCGUGGGCUGGACAAGUACCUCCAAUCUGUCUCCCUUAGUGAGGAAAAUCAAAAUUAGUCACAUCUGCAGAACAGGCCGAUCAAGAGCCCCAAACUCUUCUAAAUCCUUGCCCAGAGGGAGGGAACUCUGGCUGGUUCCUUAAGCACUGAUGGUCAACACUUAAAGGUUUUGACCAUGUGACCCUGACUUCUCCUUAUCACUACCAAAUGAUUAAUUGAAUCAGAAAGGGCAACCUAUCCAUCAUCUGGACAUUGACCUCUCUGAUUGCUUAGCCCCCAAAGCUCUGUUCCAUAGGGACAACAGUGAUCAAUCAACUUCUUUCCCUUCUAGAGUAGGAGUGGAAGAUACAGAACGAGCCAAGUCAGUGAUAGCAAGUGAGAGUCCUAAAGUGAAACCUGGGGGGUGGUGGGGUCCCCUUGGGAAGCACUAGGCUGAAGUCAUGAAUAAUCCCAAGUUAUAAAUAAACCAAACCAUGAAUUAAAGAGAAGUUACAGAAUAGAGAUGAUCAAUGGGUGGCAACAGUAGUAGUUGAAGCACAAAGACUGGGUCACUUCAACAGUGAGAGAUCCAUACAUUUAAGGAGUAACAAGAAUAUUCCAUUCCUAGACCUGAGGUGAAGGCUUCUGGUUCUCCAACACCAUGCUAAAGUUCUGAGGCCCUGUGUUCCCAUGAGAUUCCUUCUUUUCUUAUUGCCACAGGUGUCCUCCCAACCAGUCUCUACUCUCCCUCAUUACUUAUAAUCCAAAGAGCCUAAUUAACUGCCAUUACUGAUUACCUCACUUCAGUAUUUUGAUAUGGAUAGCCUAGGGUGGAAAAUAAAGGGAAGGAAGAAAAAAGGUAAAAAGGGGAGUAUAAGGAUUUGAAACAGCUAAAGAGAGAUUUGAUAUGUGAUGUAUCAACUUGACUACCCAUGCUUUUGGGACUGGUAUGUUCUGUGACUUUGUGCUGUGAUUCUCUAACUUACUUGGCCUUUACCUGCUUCUCUCACUUCCUGGGGAGAGACAGAAGCAGAAAGAACAGCCUUCAAACUUACUGUAAUCUUAGAGAUUGAUAUUGAUAUAUCAAUUGAUAUAAUUGAUAUUAGUUCAUCAGUAGUUUGAGGAAGAAUGAGAGACAGUGAAGAGCUGGAGAAGUUAAGAGACUUGCUCAGGAUUCCACAGCAGGUCUCUAAGAAGGGGGUUUAAGUCCCAAGUCUUUAUUCUUCAUCAUCAUUAAAUGAACAGACUGAAUGUCCAUCACUCAUUACACACAACUAUGUGCUCUAGCUUUCAGGAUGUUGAUUUAAGGUCUCACUGCCUUCACCAGCAAAUUCCUAAAUCUCUAAAAUUUCCUCUACAAUUCUGACAUCAAGUCCCAUGUGUGGGUUUCCUUCCUGCAACCACAAUUGAACCCUCCCUGCCCCACUACCCUCUUAGUUCAGAUGCCAGUUGCAAGUCCUAGAUUAUUACCCGUGCUUCUGACAAACCAGCUAGAGAUGGGAUGUUCCAAAGUCAUCCUUGAAUUCAAUCAAUUUGCUAGAGGGGCUCACACAAUAUAGAGCAACAUUUUACCUACCAGAUUACCAGUUUAUGAUGGAAGGAUAUACCUCAGAAACAGCCAGGUGGAAGAGAUGCAUGCAGCAAAGGAUGGGGAAAGGUGCUUCUUCCAUGCCUUCUACACAGGAGCCACUAUCUCCAAAUCUGUGUGUGUUCACCAACCCAGAAACUCUCUGAACCCCAUCCUUUCAGAUUUUCAUGGAGGCUUCAUUACAGAAGCAUGAUUGAUUAAAUCAUUGGCCGUUGGUGAUUCAACUUAACCUCUAGUCCCUUCCACUCCCAAGAGGUCAAGGGCAGGGUGGGGACUGGUGGGGGUGGGGACAGAAAGUUCCAACCCUCCAAUCACAGGGUUGGCUCCCCUCACAACCAGUCUCCAUCCUUAGGUGAUUUAGGGGUCUCCCAAAGCCCCUCAUUAACAUAACAAAACACACCUUCCUGGUUCUCAUAAUUUAAGAAAUUCCAAGGGUUUUAGGAGCUCUGGCCAGGAAUGGGGAAUAAGACCAAAUUCGUAUUUCUUAUUAUAAAUCACAAUACUACACUUUCCAAGAAGACUAACACAAGAAUUCAUCUAAAACAUUGAGAAUUGGGAAGUUAACCAUUAUUUGAUCUAGCUUUUCACUCAAUAUAAUAGACUUUCUUU